GAGGAAAGUCCGGGCUCUAUUUAUAAUAAUAUAGCUGUAUAAACUACAGUAUGAUAAAUCAUAAGGAUCGUGCUACAGAAAUAUACCGCCUAAUUUUAUAGGUAAGGGUGCAAUGGUUUGGUAAAAGCAAACCAGAAAUACAAUUAAAGUAUUGGCUAAGUAAACCCCGUAUUAGAGCAAAGUUAUUAAAUAUUUUUAAUUAGCAAAUUUUUAUAAGAUUUACAUUUUUUUAAAUUGUUUCUUGCUUACUGCAUAAAGUGAUUUUUUACUUCAGAUUAAUAAUUACCCUUUUCAUGUUUUGUAUUAUGUUAACAAAAAUGUGAAUAGAACAAAACCCGGCUUAU
rnacentral:RNase_P_RNA from 1 species